rnacentral:rRNA from 1 species
AGGUGCUGCAUGGCUGUCGUCAGCUCGUGUCGUGAGAUGUUGGGUUAAGUCCCGCAACGAGCGCAACCCUCGCCAUUAGUUGCCAUCAUUUAGUUGGGAACUCUAAUGGGACUGCCGGUGCUAAGCCGGAGGAAGGUGGGGAUGACGUCAAGUCCUCAUGGCCCUUAUAGGUGGGGCUACACACGUCAUACAAUGGCUGGUACAGAGGGUUGCCAACCCGCGAGGGGGAGCCAAUCCCAUAAAACCAGUCGUAGUCCGGAUCGCAGUCUGCAACUCGACUGCGUGAAGUCGGAAUCGCUAGUAAUCGCGGAUCAGAAUGUCGCGGUGAAUACGUUCCCGGGUCUUGUACACACCGCCCGUCACACCAUGGGAGCGGGUUCUGCCAGAAGUAGUUAGCCUAACCGCAAGGAGGGCGAUUACCACGGCAGGGUUCGUGACUGGGGUGAAGUCGUAACAAGGUAGCCGUAGGGGAACCUGCGGCUGGAUCACCUCCUU